CUGCCGCAGGGCGCAGUCAGCACCGAGCCGGAGCCGCCGGGCCGCGGCCAGGCUGCCGGAAUCCACCUGGCACACUUUCGGAAAGACAAACGCGGUUCCUCCUACUUCAGAGCAAGUCCCGGCCAGCUGGGAGCCGACCAGAAACCGCAAGCGGAGGAGACGCAGGCACGCGGGCCUCCUCUUGGGUGGAAAUGAACUUGCUUUGGAGAGAUGUUCUACUAUCAUUUUGCUUUAGGUAGAUACAAGCUGAAGCAUUAAGCCUUGCACAGUGUUCUGAACUCAUUAAGCAAUUAAAAUACUGGUCCUGUU